rnacentral:rRNA from 1 species
CCUACGGGUGGCAGCAGUGAGGAAUAUUGGUCAAUGGGCGGGAGCCUGAACCAGCCAAGUCGCGUGAGGGAAGAAGGUACUGAGUAUUGUAAACCUCUUUUGCCAGGGGACAAAGGCGGCCACGGGUGGCCGUAAGAGGGUACCUGGAGAAAAAGCAUCGACUAACUCCGUGCCAGCAGCCGCGGUAAUACGGAGGAUGCGAGCGUUAUCCGGAUUUACUGGGUGUAAGGGGAGCGUAGGCGGGCGAUAAAGUUGAAUGUUAAAUCUACCGGCUUAACUGUUAGCUGCGUUCAAAACGUCUUGUAUUGAGUGAAGUAGAGGCAGGCGGAAUUCCUAGUGUAGCGGUGAAAUGCGUAGAUAUUAGGAGGAACACCAGUGGCGAAGGCGGCCUGCUGGGCUUUAACUGACGCUGAGGCUCGAAAGCGUGGGGAGCAAACAGGAUUAGAUACCCCUGUAGUC